rnacentral:rRNA from 1 species
GCAUAUCAAUAAGCGGAGGAAAAGAAACCAACACGGAUUGCCUUAGUAACGGCGAGUGAAGCGGCAACAGCUCAAAUUUGAAAUCUGGCUUCGGCCCGAGUUGUAAUUUGCAGAGGAUGUUUAUGGUGCAGUACCUACCGAGUUCCCUGGAACGGGACGCCACAGAGGGUGAGAGCCCCGUCUGGUUGGAUACUAAACCUGUGUUAAACUCCUUCAACGAGUCGAGUAGUUUGGGAAUGCUGCUCUAAAUGGGAGGUAAAUCUCUUCUAAAGCUAAAUACCGGCCAGAGACCGAUAGCGCACAAGUAGAGUGAUCGAAAGAUGAAAAGCACCUUGAAAAGGGGGUUAAACAGUACGUGAAAUUGUUGAAAGGGAAGCGAUUAUGACCAGACUUGUGCCGUGUGGCUCAUCCGAGGUUCUCCCCGGUGCACUCCACACGGCUCAGGCCAACAUCGGUUUUCGUUGGGGGAUAAGAAUAGUAGGAACGUAGCUUUCUUCGGAGAGUGUUAUAGCCUAUUAUACGAUACCCUGACGGGGACCGAGGACCGCGCUUCGGCUAGGAUGUUGGCGUAAUGGUCAUUACCGACCCGUCUUGAAACACGGACCAAGGAGUCGUCCAUUAGAGCGAGCGUUUGGGUGUAAAACCCGCACGCGUAAUGAAAGUGAAAUUAGGUGAGAGCUUCGGCGCAUCAUCGACCGAUCCUGAAGUUUUCGGAUGGAUUUGAGUAAGAGUUUUAACGGCCGGACCCGAAAGACAGUGAACUAUGCUUGAAUAGGGUGAAGCCAGAGGAAACUCUGGUGGAGGCUCGCAGCGGUUCUGACGUGCAAAUCGAUCGUCAAAUAUGAGCAUGGGGGCGAAAGACUAAUCGAACUGUCUAGUAGCUGGUUACCGCCGAA